rnacentral:rRNA from 1 species
UACGUAGGGUCCGAGCGUUGUCCGGAAUUACUGGGCGUAAAGAGCUCGUAGGUGGUUUGUCGCGUUGUUCGUGAAAACUCACAGCUCAACUGUGGGCGUGCGGGCGAUACGGGCAGACUAGAGUACUGCAGGGGAGACUGGAAUUCCUGGUGUAGCGGUGAAAUGCGCAGAUAUCAGGAGGAACACCGGUGGCGAAGGCGGUUCUCUGGGCAUGUCCUGACGCUGAGGAGCGAAAGUGUGGGGAGCGAACAGG